rnacentral:rRNA from 1 species
GGGUUGUGAGGUUAAGCGACUAAGCGUACACGGUGGAUGCCCUGGCAGUCAGAGGCGAUGAAGGACGUGCUAAUCUGCGAAAAGCGUCGGUAAGGUGAUAUGAACCGUUAUAACCGGCGAUGUCCGAAUGGGGAAACCCAGUGCAAUUCGUUGCACUAUCGUUAACUGAAUACAUAGGUUAACGAGGCGAACCGGGGGAACUGAAACAUCUAAGUACCCCGAGGAAAAGAAAUCAACCGAGAUUCCCCCAGUAGCGGCGAGCGAACGGGGAGCAGCCCAGAGUCUGAAUCAGCUUGUGUGUUAGUGGAACGGUCUGGAAAGUCCGACGGUACAGGGUGAUAGUCCCGUACACCAAAAUGCACAGGCUGUGAACUCGAAGAGUAGGGCGGGACACGUGGUAUCCUGUCUGAAUAUGGGGGGACCAUCCUCCAAGGCUAAAUACUCCUGACUGACCGAUAGUGAACCAGUACCGUGAGGGAAAGGCGAAAAGAACCCCGGCGAGGGGAGUGAAAAAGAACCUGAAACCGUGUACGUACAAGCAGUGGGAGCACCUUCGGGUGUGACUGCGUACCUUUUGUAUAAUGGGUCAGCGACUUAUAUUCUGUAGCAAGGUUAACCGUAUAGGGGAGCCGCAGGGAAACCGAGUCUUAACUGGGCGUUAAGUUGCAGGGUAUAGACCCGAAACCCGGUGAUCUAGCCAUGGGCAGGUUGAAGGUUGGGUAACACUAACUGGAGGACCGAACCGACUAAUGUUGAAAAAUUAGCGGAUGACUUGUGGCUGGGGGUGAAAGGCCAAUCAAACCGGGAGAUAGCUGGUUCUCCCCGAAAGCUAUUUAGGUAGCGCCUCGUGAACUCAUCUUCGGGGGUAGAGCACUGUUUCGGCUAGGGGGUCAUCCCGACUUACCAACCCGAUGCAAACUACGAAUACCGAAGAAUGUUAUCACGGGAGACACACGGCGGGUGCUAACGUCCGUCGUGAAGAGGGAAACAACCCAGACCGCCAGCUAAGGUCCCAAAGUCAUGGUUAAGUGGGAAACGAUGUGGGAAGGCACAGACAGCCAGGAUGUUGGCUUAGAAGCAGCCAUCAUUUAAAGAAAGCGUAAUAGCUCACUGGUCGAGUCGGCCUGCGCGGAAGAUGUAACGGGGCUAAACCAUGCACCGAAGCUGCGGCAGCGACACUAUGUGUUGUUGGGUAGGGGAGCGUUCUGUAAGCCUGCGAAGGUGUGCUGUGAGGCAUGCUGGAGGUAUCAGAAGUGCGAAUGCUGACAUAAGUAACGAUAAAGCGGGUGAAAAGCCCGCUCGCCGGAAGACCAAGGGUUCCUGUCCAACGUUAAUCGGGGCAGGGUGAGUCGACCCCUAAGGCGAGGCCGAAAGGCGUAGUCGAUGGGAAACAGGUUAAUAUUCCUGUACUUGGUGUUACUGCGAAGGGGGGACGGAGAAGGCUAUGUUAGCCGGGCGACGGUUGUCCCGGUUUAAGCAUGUAGGCUGGUUGUCCAGGCAAAUCCGGAUAAUCAAGGCUGAGGUGUGAUGACGAGGCACUACGGUGCUGAAGUAACAAAUGCCCUGCUUCCAGGAAAAGCCUCUAAGCAUCAGGUAACAUCAAAUCGUACCCCAAACCGACACAGGUGGUCAGGUAGAGAAUACCAAGGCGCUUGAGAGAACUCGGGUGAAGGAACUAGGCAAAAUGGUGCCGUAACUUCGGGAGAAGGCACGCUGGUGUGUAGGUGAAGCCCCUGCGGGUGGAGCUGAGACCAGUCGAAGAUACCAGCUGGCUGCAACUGUUUAUUAAAAACACAGCACUGUGCAAACACGAAAGUGGACGUAUACGGUGUGACGCCUGCCCGGUGCCGGAAGGUUAAUUGAUGGGGUUAUCCGUAAGGAGAAGCUCUUGAUCGAAGCCCCGGUAAACGGCGGCCGUAACUAUAACGGUCCUAAGGUAGCGAAAUUCCUUGUCGGGUAAGUUCCGACCUGCACGAAUGGCGUAAUGAUGGCCAGGCUGUCUCCACCCGAGACUCAGUGAAAUUGAACUCGCUGUGAAGAUGCAGUGUACCCGCGGCAAGACGGAAAGACCCCGUGAACCUUUACUAUAGCUUGACACUGAACAUUGAGCCUUGAUGUGUAGGAUAGGUGGGAGGCUUUGAAGCGUGGACGCCAGUCUGCGUGGAGCCAACCUUGAAAUACCACCCUUUAAUGUUUGAUGUUCUAACGUUGGCCCCUUACCGGGGUUGCGGACAGUGUCUGGUGGGUAGUUUGACUGGGGCGGUCUCCUCCCAAAGCGUAACGGAGGAGCACGAAGGUUAGCUAAUCCUGGUCGGACAUCAGGAGGUUAGUGCAAUGGCAUAAGCUAGCUUGACUGCGAGCGUGACGGCGCGAGCAGGUGCGAAAGCAGGUCAUAGUGAUCCGGUGGUUCUGAAUGGAAGGGCCAUCGCUCAACGGAUAAAAGGUACUCCGGGGAUAACAGGCUGAUACCGCCCAAGAGUUCAUAUCGACGGCGGUGUUUGGCACCUCGAUGUCGGCUCAUCACAUCCCCGGGCUGAAGUAGGUCCCAAAGGGUAUGGCUGUUCGCCAUUUAAAGUGGUACGCGAGCUGGGUUUAGAACGUCGUGAGACAGUUCGGUCCCUAUCUGCCGUGGGCGCUGGAGAAUUGAGGGGCUGCUCCAGUACGAGAGGACCGGAGUGGACGCAUCACUGGUGUUCGGGUUGUCAUGCCAAUGGCACUGCCCGGUAGCUAAAUGCGGAAGAGAUAAGUGCUGAAAGCAUCUAAGCACGAAACUUGCCCCGAGAUGAGUUCUCCCUGAGACUUUAAGUCUCCUGAAGGAACGUUGAAGACGACGACGUUGAUAGGCCGGGUGUGUAAGCGCAGCGAUGCGUUGAGCUAACCGGUACUAAUGAACCGUGAGGCUUAACCUUACAACGCCGAAG